GUCAGGAUGGCCGAGCGGUCGAAGGCGCCAGACUCAAGGCAUGAUUCCUUCCUUGCUUCAGAGGUUUCUGGCCUCUCAAAGGAGGCGUGGGUUCAAAUCCCACUCCUGACA